ACGAGCAAGUUUCUCUUGUGGCAAAUUCUGGACCUACAUCGCAGUGAUUACGAUUUUUAUCCUGCUCGGCAGGAACUUUGAAUGCACUUGCAAACCGCAAGACUUUGACUGCAACUUAUACCUGGUUCUGCCAGUCUUUAUAGUAUUUGUCUUUAUUCUCUGGACAGACAGGCCAUUUCAGAGAGUCUGUAGACACCUGUGUUCAUCUGCGUUUGGAGGCAGUGACAGGCUUCACACCUGCAGUGUUUUGGGGUCUUGCUUCCGUCACAUUAUCAAAGCAGCUUUCAUCGGUUUGCUUUGGGUCGUGUGUGUUUUAAUUGAUGGAGACUGGUACGUUUGCUGUAUGAACGAUCACUCUCAACAACAGGCACAGUUAGCCUGCAAAGACAGGGGGAGGAUCACUGACGAGGACCGAGUAAUCAUCGCUGAACUGAAAAAUGAGUCCAGGGUUAUUGGCACCUUUUUGCUCUUUGGCAUCAUUUGUCUGCCAGCCCUGUUGUCAUCAUUUGGAUGGAGGAGACAUUCAAGUUGUGAAAGAAAAAACUUGUAUUACAAACUGAUUCUGGAAGAGGAGAAAAAUGUACUGAAACAGAUUUUGAGGGAAUGUGCAAAGGAAAAGUUGACAAAGGAAAUGGAGAACAAAAUCCGUGGUGAACAGUGGGAAGAGUGUUUUGAUGUUGCUGAAGAACUGAUUAACGCAUCUACUCAACCAACCAGUUCUGAAUGAGAGCGUGGGGCACGAGCAACAUCACACAAGAGCUUGAAACAAUCGACUGAAAACCCUCCACAAGCACGAGCGAGCGAAGGUCACAGAGUCCGACAGCUGAAUGCAGCAGCACCAGAUAUAUUCCUCUUACAUUAACAUAAAAUGUUGAUUUUGUUUUUGCUUUGCAGGGAUCAGAAGUAAUGUUUUUAUCUAUAUCAUUUUUAUGUAAUAAUGAACAAGUCAAUCACAUUGAAUGUUUUAACUAUAGUGAACAAAUAAACUUAAAACUUCCACCAA